GGACAAAUGACCGAGUGGUUUAUGGUGUAAUAUUUGAGCUAUUAUGUAUUGUUUUCAAUACCGAGAGUUCGAAUCUCUCUUUGUCCG
rnacentral:tRNA from 1 species